GCUAAACAGCUAGCUUAACCACCUAAAUAACCAACACAACAUUAAAACAUUUAACACCAACUCCAACCCGUCAAACCAAAACAUUCUACCGCCUUAGUAUGGGAGACAGAAAAGGCGCACAUCCCAAAGCAAUAACAAAAGUACCGCAAGGGAACGCUGAAAGAGAAAUGAAACAAAUCAUUAAAGCACAAUAAAGCAGAGACUAACCCUCGUACCUUUUGCAUCAUGAUUUAGCUAGUAUUAUUGAGCAAAGAGCACUUUAGUUCAAACCCCCGAAACUAAGUGAGCUACCCCGGGACAGCCUAUGAAUUAGGGCCAACCCGUCUCUGUGGCAAAAGAGUGGGAAGAUCCCCGGGUAGAGGUGACAAGCCUACCGAACUUAGUUAUAGCUGGUUGCCUAAGAAAUGAAUAGAAGUUCAGCCUGCACUCCUCAGCUCACAAAUAUAUGUACAUAUUAAAAAUACGAGCCAGAGCAACAUGCAAGAGUUAGUCAAAGGAGGUACAGCUCCUCUGAAACAGGACACAACCUUACCAGGAGGUUAAAGAUUAUAUUAACCAAGAUACACCGCUUCAGUGGGCCCAAAAGCAGCCACCCAAAUAGAAAGCGUUAAAGCUCAAGCGGAUUAAAAAUCUAUUAUUCAAAUACUUAAUCUCAAACCCCUAACUAUAUUAGGCCGCCCUAUGCGCACAUAGGAGAGACGCUGCUAAAAUGAGUAAUAAGAAGGAACCCCCUUCUCCCCAGCCUACGUGUACGCUAGAUCGAACUCUCACUAGCAAUUAUCGAACCCAAUAAAAGAGGGCAAUGUGUUUACUUCAAACAUCAAGAAAACCCCACACAACCCAAUCGUUAACCCCACACCGGAUGGCCUUAAAACGGAGGAAAGACUAAAAGAAAAGGAAGGAACUCGGCAAACACAAGCCUCGCCUGUUUACCAAAAACAUCGCCUCCUGCAAAAAUCAAUGUAUAGGAGGUCUUGCCUGCCCAGUGAUAAGUUUAACGGCCGCGGUAUCUUGACCGUGCAAAGGUAGCGCAAUCACUUGUCUUUUAAAUGAAGACCUGUAUGAAUGGUGGAACGAGGGCUUAACUGUCUCCCCUUUCAAGUCAAUGAAAUUGAUCUGCCCGUGCAGAAGCGGACAUACAAAUACAAGACGAGAAGCCCCUUUGGAGCUUUAGAUACAAGAUCAUCUAUGUCAAGGACCAUAAAUUCAAGUCAAACUGAAUAGCAAUCUGAUCCUAAUCUUUUGUUGGGGCGACCGCGGGAAAAAACAAAGCUCCCACGAGGACUGGGACAACAACCCCAAAACCAAGAAAGACAUCUCUAAGUCACAGAACAUCUGACCAUAAAGAUCCGGCUAUACGCCGACCAACGGACCAAGUUACCCUAGGGAUAACAGCGCAAUCCCCUUCCAGAGCCCAUAUCAACAAGGGGGUUUACGACCUCGAUGUUGGAUCAGGACAUCCUAAUGGUGCAGCCGCUAUUAAGGGUUCGUUUGUUCAACGAUUAAAGUCCUACGUGAUCUGAGUUCAGACCGGAGUAAUCCAGGUCAGUUUCUAUCUGUAACGCUAUUCUUCCCAGUACGAAAGGACCGGAAAAGAGGGGCCCAUGUUACAAACACGCCCUGCCCCAACUUGAUGACACCAACUAAAUCAAACAAA
rnacentral:rRNA from 1 species